GAGUUUGAUCCUGGCUCAGGAUGAACGCUAGCGGCAGGCUUAACACAUGCAAGUCGAGGGGUAACAGGGAUUGCUUGCAAUCCGCUGACGACCGGCGCACGGGUGCGUAACGCGUAUGCAACCUACCUUUUACAAGGGGAUAGCCCAGAGAAAUUUGGAAUAAUACCCUAUACGAUCAUUAAUUGGCAUCAAUUAAUGAAGAAAACUCCGGUGGUAAAAGAUGGGCAUGCGUCCUAUUAGUUAGUUGGUAAGGUAACGGCUUACCAAGACUCCGAUAGGUAGGGGUCCUGAGAGGGAGAUCCCCCACACUGGUACUGAGACACGGACCAGACUCCUACGGGAGGCAGCAGUGAGGAAUAUUGGACAAUGGAGGCAACUCUGAUCCAGCCAUGCCGCGUGCAGGAAGACGGCCCUACGGGUUGUAAACUGCUUUUAUACAGGAAGAACUAUAUCUACGUGUAGAUAUUUGACGGUACUGUACGAAUAAGGAUCGGCUAACUCCGUGCCAGCAGCCGCGGUAAUACGGAGGAUCCAAGCGUUAUCCGGAAUCAUUGGGUUUAAAGGGUCCGUAGGCGGUCUAAUAAGUCAGAGGUGAAAUCCUACAGCUCAACUGUAGCAUUGCCUUUGAUACUGUUAGACUUGAGUUAUUGUGAAGUAGUUAGAAUGUGUAGUGUAGCGGUGAAAUGCAUAGAUAUUACACAGAAUACCGAUUGCGAAGGCAGAUUACUAACAAUAUACUGACGCUGAGGGACGAAAGCGUGGGUAGCGAACAGGAUUAGAUACCCUGGUAGUCCACGCCGUAAACGAUGGAUACUAGCUGUUCGAUCAACAUUGGUUGGUUGAGUGGCUAAGCGAAAGUGA
rnacentral:rRNA from 1 species